AGUAGGAUAGCUGGGUCAAAUGGUGGAUCCAUUCCAAGUUUUCUCCACACUGCUUUCCAUAAUGGUCCACCAAUUUGCAGUCCUACCAGCAAU
rnacentral:pre_miRNA from 1 species